UGGCCGGGUCCGGACGCAGCUCCAGUCACUACCGUGCGCCCGCCAGCCACUUCGGACUCGCGCUGCGCAGUCAGCGCGCCCCUCCUCGGUCCAGGCGGCCACUGCCUCCUCUCCGCCCCCAACCCUCCGCUGCGCAACCGGCAGCGACCAACUCCGCGGCGGGGGAGGCAUUGUCGGCAAAGAGCCGCCCGGAGCGCAGAAGCAGCGCAGCCCCUUGCUCGCGGCGGACCGCAGCCCUCUUCUCACCUGGCGCGGAGGCGCAACCUGGUCCUCACCACAAGAGACAGGAAGGCAGAGUUGGUGCGCCACGCCACGCCUCGAUGCCCACCCCCUCAGGCCGCGUUGGUGGGCUCCGCGCCUCUGGGUCCCGCGCCCUCGGCCCCCUACCUAAGCACAGCGGCAGGCACCGAGGAAUUCGAGCAGUAUAGUCGGGUACCCUCCCCGCUCCUGGGCAGUUUGCUGUCGGGGAUUUUUACUGCUGCUGGAGGAGCUUGGAUGUUCGCCCCAUCGCUGGGCGCCACCCUCUCAAAGCUGCACUCACAGUAAGGUCGUAUAGACUUUUGAGGCAACUUUAUGAGCUGGAAGAAGGGCGGGAGAGUACACGUCCCUGAGUGAUGAUUUCCUCAUCGAAGAUGAAGUUUCUUCUGGGGAAACUCCAGGUGACCACACCUCCUCUAGACAUUUCGCCCCCGGGCAGGUUUACCUGAUGCGUCAGAAAAGCAACUGUGCAAAAUCGUAGGCGAACGACCUCAGGCAAGGGCUGGAGUCAGGAGGUUUAGAAUUCAUUCAUACCGAUUGCCUUGCAGUCGUUUCCCUUUAAAGUUUCUGUAUUUUCUAACAUUUUUCUGAGCUGCAGUAACCAAUGAAAACGAUGCUGAUAUGAACGUCCUUCAGCGGUGCUUCCUCGGAAGGCAACGAAAUGGACCCAGGACUGCCCACAGUCCACCUCCGCAGGCGAGAAUGCAAAUCUCUGCCAAAUUCUGGAAAAGGAAUCGCUCCAACACCUAUGUUCACUAAAACCCCAGGGAUACUUGCCCUUGGAACCCAGGUUCCAAGCCAUAAGGAAGGGGAAAGACUACGUGGAGUAGCUACAUAAAGGUGUUUAUGAUGACCCACUGAAGUCCCAGAUGACAUCUAGCACCUACCUCCAGAGGAGUAGUGAGCAAGAGUCCAGCUGAUUUCCUGCCCUAGACUUUGAAUGUCUCUGACUGAUGCCAGGGAAAAAAGACAAGAUGUUUCUCAACAGCCUUACCUAAAUUGCAGAUUUGUCGUCGUCGUUGUGAGCUGCUGAGUUUUGCCAUGUCUGUAACCCAGUGAUAGCUAACAGAACAAGUGCCUCCCUUUGUUUUAACUGAUUGGCACCAGGACACAGUCACAUGGCAUUAUGCAAUGCUUCCUGGAAGGAGCUGCUACUGGGGAGGCAGGCACCAUAUGUCAAUUAUGUCUCAUUUUGUUAAGAUUUUAAUCCUCUUGGGCACUCAAUAAAGCGCUUGUGUGUAGUAUGCAUCAAAUUUGUUGGACUGAAGUGAAAAACAUAGUGUGAUAGCAAGAACAUGCACUUUGCACUCAAAACUACAGUUCCAGCUGUGUGGUAGAAAGUAAGUUGCCUCUUCAACCCAUCG